CGGAGUUGGUGAAACAACUUUUUUGACAUCCUCUUGCAAGGCAGUGUUGAUAUCAGCAGGUACUUCGGUGACCUUGGCAUAUGCUUCCUUAGCUAUCUUUGUAAUAAGCUCAACUUGUAUGGUUUUUUCCCAUUUCUCCCUUUCUUGUUUAAGAGUUCCAUACACUUGCAUUACGUGAUCAGUGAAGUCCCUUUCAUCCAUCUAUGUAUCCAAAGUAGAUUUAAGCAAAAGAAAAAAAAAAGUGAAAAGAGAUAGGUACGUAUCUUACUUCAUUCAUGUAUAUAGAAAAUGUUUAUACAUCUUCAUACCAGAGAAACUCUACUUCUAUAAUUAUUGAUAAUAUCAUUUCAAGAUCGCAUAGAUAAAUAGAUAGAUAGACAAUUAAUGAUGAUAAUUUUCACUCAAAGCAAGGUAUUACAUAGCCGAAAGCCACACUUUGUAAUGAUCAUGAUAAUGAACAUUAGUAGCAAUAACCAAGGUAUUAUUAGUUGCAGCAGAGCAAUGUUUUUGGAUCGAGUAAUCUGAAUAAUUACAGCCAAUGCUUGCAGACGAACCUAUGUUCAAAUUUUCUGAAUGUGCAAGGGUUGCAUCUAGUGAAAUUUUGGUUGGAGUUGAAACUAUUAAUGGUUGCAUCAGAGAAGUUUUGUUUCCGUUGUUAAAUGAGUGGUGUGUACCUGGAUUUUUAUUUAGGUUGUCUAAUGACACAGAUGUGGUUUCAGUUGCAGCAUUGUUUCUCUUGUCUCUUUUGGCUUUGUACAUAGCCAAAUCAAUUUCAAAUGCCCAUAGCUCUACAUCUAUGUUCUUUCUCGGUUGUUGCUUGACAUUGUGACUCAUACUCCAAAUCAAACAAUUCACUUGGAAACCUGCACGACUGAAGUAUGUGUUUGAUUUAACACAUUUUCAUGCAAAUUUUAUGAGAAGAAAAAAUUCAUAAUUUUUUAUUCAAUGGUCCUUUGAGAUUUCUCAAAGGAAAACCAAAAACACACUUCUUAAUUACUACACUAGUAUUCUAAUUCCAUAAUGACCAAGAUCAUUUCAUGUAGCUUCUUGAUCAUAAUAUUUAUAUUGCUCUCUUUUCCACCACCACCUAUUUUCU
rnacentral:lncRNA from 1 species